GACGAACGCUGGCGGCGUGCCUAAUACAUGCAAGUAGAACGCUGAAGAGAGGAGCUUGCUCUUCUUGGAUGAGUUGCGAACGGGUGAGUAACGCGUAGGUAACCUGCCUUGUAGCGGGGGAUAACUAUUGGAAACGAUAGCUAAUACCGCAUAACAAUGGAUGACCCAUGUCAUUUAUUUGAAAGGGGCAAAUGCUCCACUACAAGAUGGACCUGCGUUGUAUUAGCUAGUAGGUGAGGUAACGGCUCACCUAGGCGACGAUACAUAGCCGACCUGAGAGGGUGAUCGGCCACACUGGGACUGAGACACGGCCCAGACUCCUACGGGAGGCAGCAGUAGGGAAUCUUCGGCAAUGGGGGCAACCCUGACCGAGCAACGCCGCGUGAGUGAAGAAGGUUUUCGGAUCGUAAAGCUCUGUUGUAAGUCAAGAACGAGUGUGAGAGUGGAAAGUGCACACUGUGACGGUAGCUUACCAGAAAGGGACGGCUAACUACGU
rnacentral:rRNA from 1 species